rnacentral:rRNA from 1 species
UACGAGAGGCCCAAACGUUAUUCGGAAUUACUGGGCUUAAAGAGUUCGUAGGCGGCAUGAAAAGCAGGGCGUGAAAGCCCUCGGCUCAACCGAGGAAUUGCGCUCUGAACUGUCGUGCUUGAGGAACCUAGAGGUGAGCAGAACAGAUGGUGGAGCGGUGAAAUGCGUUGAUAUCAUCUGGAAUACCGGAGGCGAAGGCGGCUCACUGGGGGUUUUCUGACGCUGAGGAACGAAAGCCAGGGUAGCGAACGGG